rnacentral:rRNA from 1 species
GACGAACGCUGGCGGCGUGCUUAACACAUGCAAGUCGAGCGGAAAGGCCCUGCUUUUGUGGGGUGCUCGAGUGGCGAACGGGUGAGUAACACGUGAGUAACCUGCCCUUGACUUUGGGAUAACUUCAGGAAACUGGGGCUAAUACCGGAUAGGAGCUCCUGCUGCAUGGUGGGGGUUGGAAAGUUUCGGCGGUUGGGGAUGGACUCGCGGCUUAUCAGCUUGUUGGUGGGGUAGUGGCUUACCAAGGCUUUGACGGGUAGCCGGCCUGAGAGGGUGACCGGCCACAUUGGGACUGAGAUACGGCCCAGACUCCUACGGGAGGCAGCAGUGGGGAAUAUUGCACAAUGGGCGGAAGCCUGAUGCAGCAACGCCGCGUGCGGGAUGACGGCCUUCGGGUUGUAAACCGCUUUCGCCUGUGACGAAGCGUGAGUGACGGUAAUGGGUAAAGAAGCACCGGCUAACUACGUGCCAGCAGCCGCGGUGAUACGUAGGGUGCGAGCGUUGUCCGGAUUUAUUGGGCGUAAAGGGCUCGUAGGUGGUUGAUCGCGUCGGAAGUGUAAUCUUGGGGCUUAACCCUGAGCGUGCUUUCGAUACGGGUUGACUUGAGGAAGGUAGGGGAGAAUGGAAUUCCUGGUGGAGCGGUGGAAUGCGCAGAUAUCAGGAGGAACACCAGUGGCGAAGGCGGUUCUCUGGGCCUUUCCUGACGCUGAGGAGCGAAAGCGUGGGGAGCGAACAGGCUUAGAUACCCUGGUAGUCCACGCUGUAAACGGUGGGUACUAGGUGUGGGGUCCAUUCCACGGGUUCCGUGCCGUAGCUAACGCUUUAAGUACCCCGCCUGGGGAGUACGGCCGCAAGGCUAAAACUCAAAGGAAUUGACGGGGCCCCGCACAAGCGGCGGAGCAUGCGGAUUAAUUCGAUGCAACGCGUAGAACCUUACCUGGGUUUGACAUGGAUCGGGAGUGCUCAGAGAUGGGUGUGCCUCUUUUGGGGUCGGUUCACAGGUGGUGCAUGGCUGUCGUCAGCUCGUGUCGUGAGAUGUUGGGUUAAGUCCCGCAACGAGCGCAACCCUUGUUCACUGUUGCCAGCACGUUAUGGUGGGGACUCAGUGGAGACCGCCGGGGUCAACUCGGAGGAAGGUGGGGAUGACGUCAAGUCAUCAUGCCCCUUAUGUCCAGGGCUUCACGCAUGCUACAAUGGCUGGUACAGAGAGUGGCGAGCCUGUGAGGGUGAGCGAAUCUCGGAAAGUCGGUCUCAGUUCGGAUUGGGGUCUGCAACUCGACCUCAUGAAGUCGGAGUCGCUAGUAAUCGCAGAUCAGCAACGCUGCGGUGAAUACGUUCCCGGGGCC